CUCUUAUCCCGAGCUGGUGGAGGGACAGGCCCUAUGAAACCCAGCAACCAUCGUCAUUUUUUUGUGUAGACGAUAAGGUGCUAACCUGAUGCAAGGGCACAACCUUGAUCGAUAAGAG
rnacentral:ncRNA from 3 species